rnacentral:rRNA from 1 species
GGCUCAGGAUGAACGCUAGCGGGAGGCUUAACACAUGCAAGUCGAGGGGCAGCACGAUGUAGCAAUACAUUGGUGGCGACCGGCGCACGGGUGAGUAACGCGUAUGCAACCUACCCUGUACAGGGGGAUAGCCCGGAGAAAUUCGGAUUAAUACCCCAUAAUGAUAUUGAGAGGCAUCUUUUAAUAUUUAAAGUUUCGACGGUACGGGAUGGGCAUGCGUGACAUUAGCUAGUUGGUAGGGUAACGGCCUACCAAGGCUGCGAUGUCUAGGGGUCCUGAGAGGGUGAUCCCCCACACUGGUACUGAGACACGGACCAGACUCCUACGGGAGGCAGCAGUGAGGAAUAUUGGUCAAUGGACGUAAGUCUGAACCAGCCAUCCCGCGUGCAGGAAGAAGGCGCUAUGGGUCGUAAACUGCUUUUCCAGGGGAAGAAAACCUGAUACGUGUAUCGGCUUGCCGGUACCCUGGGAAUAAGCAUCGGCUAACUCCGUGCCAGCAGCCGCGGUAAUACGGAGGAUGCGAGCGUUAUCCGGAUUUAUUGGGUUUAAAGGGUGCGUAGGCGGAUUAAUAAGUCAGUGGUGAAAACCUUCAGCUUAACUGGAGACUUGCCAUUGAUACUGUUAGUCUUGAGUACGGUCAAGGUAGGCGGAAUGUGUAAUGUAGCGGUGAAAUGCUUAGAUAUUACACAGAACACCGAUUGCGAAGGCAGCUUACUGGGCCAUUACUGACGCUGAUGCACGAAAGCGUGGGGAGCGAACAGGAUUAGAUACCCUGGUAGUCCACGCCGUAAACGAUGAUCACUCGCUGUUAGCGAUACACAGUUAGCGGCUAAGCAAAAGCAUUAAGUGAUCCACCUGGGGAGUACGGCCGCAAGGCUGAAACU